CCGCCCUGAGGCGGCUGCGGGGUGGGGGCGGUGCGGGUCGGCUGCCCGCUUAUCUCAGCCCGUGAAGGGAAGGCGCAGCCUGUGGGGAGAAGAGGCGCGAAAGCCGCCCGCGGGCCGUGCGUGGCGGCGGGGCGGGGGUGUCUCCCUCGCCACCCUCGUCCGACCUUUCUCCUCACGGAAAAGACAGAAUUAUAUUUGCAACCAAGGAGGACCAUGAAACACCAAGCAGUGCUGAGCUGGUUGCAGACGACCCAGAUGACCCUUAUGAAGAACAAGCACAGAAGAAAUAAAGGGAUCAGACUGUGUGGACCAAUUCCGUGCCAUGCAGGAAUGCAUGCAAAAAUACCCAGAUCUUUACCCUCAAGAGGAUGAAAAUGAAGAAAAAGAGAAGUCAAGC